GACGAACGCUGGCGGCGUGCUUAACACAUGCAAGUCGAACGGAAAGGCCUCUUUCGGGGGGUACUCGAGUGGCGAACGGGUGAGUAACACGUGAGUAACCUGCCCUUGACUUUGGGAUAACUUCAGGAAACUGGGGCUAAUACCGGAUAGGAGCUCCUGCUGCAUGGUGGGGGUUGGAAAGUUUCGGCGGUUGGGGAUGGACUCGCGGCUUAUCAGCUUGUUGGUGGGGUAGUGGCUUACCAAGGCUUUGACGGGUAGCCGGCCUGAGAGGGUGACCGGCCACAUUGGGACUGGGAUACGGCCCAGAAUCCUACGGGAGGCAGCAGUGGGGAAUAUUGCACAAUGGGUGGAAGCCUGAUGCAGCAACGCCGUGUGCGGGAUGACGGCCUUCGGGUUGUAAACCGCUUUCGCUCAUGACGAAGCUUUGUGUGACGGUAGUGGGUAAAGAAGCACCGGCUAACUACGUG
rnacentral:rRNA from 1 species